UACAUACCCAAAAUGAUGGUUUCAAAAA
rnacentral:sRNA from 1 species